rnacentral:rRNA from 1 species
GAUGAACGCUGGCGGCGUGCCUAAUACAUGCAAGUCGAGCGAACGGACGAGAAGCUUGCUUUUCUGAUGUUGGCGGCGGACGGGUGAGUAACACGUGGAUAACCUACCUAUAAGACUGGGAUAACUUCGGGAAACCGGAGCUAAUACCGGAUAAUAUUUUGAACCGCAUGGUUCAAAAGUGAAAGACGGUCUUGCUGUCACUUAUAGAUGGAUCCGCGCUGCAUUAGCUAGUUGGUAAGGUAACGGCUUACCAAGGCAACGAUGCAUAGCCGACCUGAGAGGGUGAUCCGCCACACUGGAACUGAGACACGGUCCAGACUCCUACGGGGGGCAGCAGUAGGGAAUCUUCCGCAAUGGGCGAAAGCCUGACGGAGCAACGCCGCGUGAGUGAUGAAGGUCUUCGGAUCGUAAAACUCUGUUAUUAGGGAAGAACAUAUGUGUAAGUAACUGUGCACAUCUUGACGGUACCUAAUCAGAAAGCCACGGCUAACUACGUG